AGAAAUUGAUAGCUGGGCAUGGUGGUACACACCCGUAAUCCCAGCUACCUGGGAGGCAGAAGUGGAAGGAUCACCUGAGCCCAAAAGGCUGAGGCUGCAGUGAGGCGGGAUUGGGCCACUAUACUCCAGCCUGGGCAAAAGAGUGAGACCCUGUAUCAGAAAAAAAAAAACAAAACAACAACAGCAAAGAAUUUAUAAUUUUAAAAUUACCAAAGAAAAAUCUCCGGGUCCAGAAUAUUUCACUGAAGAAUUCUACCAAACGUUCAGGGAACACUUAACACCAAUUCUACAUAAUCUAUUUCAGAAAGCAGAAGAGGAGGGAGCAUUUCCCAGUUCAUUUUAUGAAGCGAGGAUUGCACUGAUGCUAAAACCAGACAAAAACAGGGAAAAAAAAAAUUUAAAGAAAGCAGGAUAAAAAGAAAACUACAGACCAAUAUCCC
rnacentral:lncRNA from 1 species